GCCGCCCUAGCUCAACGGUAGAGCAACUGUUUUGUAAACAGUAGGUUGUCAGUUCGAAUCUGAUGGGCGGCUCCA
rnacentral:tRNA from 1 species